UUCUCCGCCUGCCAUAUCUGAAAUAAGAAAAUAAAGAUGGCGUUGAAAAGAAAUUUAAUAUAGGUUGUGUUACAGAAAAACCUUGUAUUAUUCAGAGGAAUUUGUGUUUAAUUGGAAAGGCACGAUCGCAUGAUUCAGAAUGUGGAACUAAAGACUGAAUCAUUAGAAAUAUAAGAAACCAGUUUGAAGAAUGCAUAUCAUUGAUACCUCUUUUUACAUAUGUAGGUAUGUAAAUUGUUAUUUCACUGUUGGCAUUAUAUGGAGGAGUAACGAGGAGUAACUUACAAUUUAUUGAGUCUUCUAUUCACUAAUUAUUGAGUAAAUCCUUUCCUGCAUUCCAAGGGUUAUGAGUUAUAUGCUGCUUAAUUCUACAUACGGAAUUUUUUUUCAAGUUUAUCAAUAAAUGAGAAUUUUCAAGCAUUUAUCUCAUACAAGAUUACCAAAGGCUUGCAAUAAAUUGGUCUUGGCCGAAAAUUUUCGCUACUGAUGACAGAAACACAAUUACGCAAUGUAAAUUUUUGAAGUGAAAAGUACAAGUUAAAAUCAUCUAAUAGUAUUUUAAACCCAACAAAUUUCUAUUUCUAAAACAAAAAUCAAUAGAUGAAAACAAUGCCUGGAAAAAUAAACAAAAAAUAUCUGAGUGGCUAUUCAGAGUAAGCAAUUCAAUCGAAUUUCGAAGCAUAAAAUUAACUCUAUGACACGUUUAAAGAAUUUGUUGCAUAAAUUUGUUAUAUAAUUUUAAUAAAUUUAAUUUAUUAUAUAAAUUUAAUAAAUAAAAUAUUAAACUAA